UGCAAGUCGUACGAGGGCUUUUAGCCCUAGUGGCGGACGGGUGAGUAACACGUGAGAAUCUGCCCUUAGGAGGAGGAUAACAGCUGGAAACGGUUGCUAAUACUCCAUAUGCCGAGAGGUGAAAGGAAUUUCUGCCUAAGGAGGAGCUCGCGUCUGAUUAGCUAGUUGGUAGGGUAAAGGCCUACCAAGGCGACGAUCAGUAGCUGGUUUGAGAGGAUGAUCAGCCACACUGGGACUGAGACACGGCCCAGACUCCUACGGGAGGCAGCAGUAGGGAAUUUUCCGCAAUGGGCGAAAGCCUGACGGAGCAAUACCGCGUGAGGGAUGACGGCCUGUGGGUUGUAAACCUCUUUUCUCAAGGAAGAAGUUCUGACGGUACUUGAGGAAUCAGCCUCGGCUAACUCCGUGCCAGCAGCCGCGGUAAUACGGGGGAGGCAAGCGUUAUCCGGAAUUAUUGGGCGUAAAGCGUCCGCAGGUGGUCAGCCAAGUCUGCCGUCAAAUCAGGUUGCUUAACGACCUAAAGGCGGUGGAAACUGGCAGACUAGAGAGCAGUAGGGGUAGCAGGAAUUCCCAGUGUAGCGGUGAAAUGCGUAGAGAUUGGGAAGAACAUCGGUGGCGAAAGCGUGCUACUGGGCUGUAUCUGACACUCAGGGACGAAAGCUAGGGGAGCGAAAGGGAUUAGAUACCCCUGUAGUCCUAG
rnacentral:rRNA from 1 species